rnacentral:lncRNA from 1 species
AUUUGAAAGAACCGAACAGAUCUAACUGCUUUUUUUUGUUUAUCUUUAAGUUGGAAGACUUUAUAGUUUCACAUCAAAAUGCGAAGAAAAGAACAAUACAGAUUUAUCUGAUAAAUGGGUUUAAAAAUUUACAAGAUCAAUAUAAAAAGUCAUGUUUGUCAGAUGUAGAUGCUUCACCAAGAGGGUAAUGUUAUAGAAUUUUUAAGACAGUAAUAAAGUUUGGGAAAUUUUGUCCAAUAACCAUUUGUAUACAUUUUCGCAAAUUUAGAUGUGAUAGUCAUCGAUCGCCAGUUGAGACGGGGAGAUGACAGGGUCUUGCAAGAGACGAUAGAGUAUGCCACCAAUAUGCCUGUGACUCAACUGACAUUGAUGACGAAUACCACUACAUCAUGACUUGCGAAACACUUAAAACAGAUUGAACAAAAUGUUUAUCUAAUUAUUUUUCGAAAACACCAACAC